rnacentral:rRNA from 1 species
ACCUACGGGGCGCAGCAGUGGGGAAUCUUGGACAAUGGGGGAAACCCUGAUCCAGCCAUGCCGCGUGAGUGAUGAAGGCCCUAGGGUUGUAAAACUCUUUCGGCGGGGACGAUAAUGACGGUACCCGCAGAAGAAGCUCCGGCUAACUUCGUGCCAGCAGCCGCGGUAAUACGAAGGGGGCUAGCGUUGUUCGGAAUUACUGGGCGUAAAGCGCGCGCAGGCGGUCCUUUAAGUCGGGGGUGAAAGCCCAGAGCUCAACUCUGGAACUGCCUUCGAAACUAGAGGACUUGGGUACGGGAGAGGUGAGUGGAAUUCCGAGUGUAGAGGUGAAAUUCGUAGAUAUUCGGAAGAACACCAGUGGCGAAGGCGGCUCACUGGCCCGUUACCGACGCUCAGGCGCGACAGCGUGGGGAGCAAACAGGAUUAGAUACCCUGGUAGC